AGCAGACGGCAUUACUGACCCCAGCCCACACCGGCUACAAGGAUGAAGCCUUUCUAGAUUGUAAGCUGCUUUUUCUGCGAAAAAACAUGUAAUGCGUAGGAAACUGACGGACCAGACGAAUAAGCACCCGCUAACUGCGUGUCUGCGGGCGCGGUAAUAUGCAGGUGCAACAGUUAUCCGGAUUUAUUGGGUUAAAGGGUGCGUGGGGAGGGCAGUUACCUCAGUGGUGAAAGCCUCCAGCUCACGAAAGAACUGCCAUUGAUACUGAUUAGAUUGAGUACAGACGAGGUCGGCAGAAUUGAUCAUGUAGCGGUGAAAUGCAUAGAUACAUUCAAGAACUCCGAUUGCGUAGGCAGCUAACUAGGCGGUAACUGACGCUGAGGCAAGAAAGCAUGGGAAGCGAACAGGAUUAGAUCCAGCGGUAGUUCACGCGGUAAACGAUGAUUACUCGAUGUCGACGAUAAACAGUCGGCGUAUUAGCGAAAAGCGUUAAGUAAUCCACUUGGGGAGUACGCCCGCAAGGGUGAAACUCAAAGGAAUUGACGGGGGCCCGCACAAGCGGUGGAGCAUGUGGUUUAAUUCGAUGAUACGCGAGGAACCUUACCUAGGUUAGAAUGAGCGUCACCGCCUCAGAGAUGAGGCUUUCCUUCGGGACACAAAGCAAGGUGCCGCAAGGCCGUCGUCAGCUCGUGCCGUGAGGUGUCGGGUUAAGUCCAGCAACGAGCGCAACCCCUAUCCUUAGUUGCCAGCAUGUUUUGAUGCGGACUCUAAAGAGACGUCCUGAGCAAGCAGUGAGGAAGGUGGGGAUGACGUCAGGUCAUCAUGGCCCUUACGCUUAGCGUUACACACGUGAUACAAUGGGCGGUACAGAGGGCUGCUCCCUGGUGACAGGAUGCCAAUCUCAAAAAGCCGCUAUCAGUUCGGAUCGAAGUGUGCAACUUGACCUCGUGAAGCUGGAAUCGCUAGUAAUCGUGUAUCCGCAAUGACGCGGAAUCGAAUUC
rnacentral:rRNA from 1 species